rnacentral:rRNA from 1 species
GAUAACCUCGGGAAACUGGGUAUAAUACCCGAUAGGUCUCGAUUGCUGGAAUGCAUCGAGAUUUAAAGCUCCGGCGCCUAAGGAUGGGUCUGCGGCCUAUCAGGUAGUAGUGGGUGUAGCGUACCUACUAGCCUACGACGGGUACGGGUUGUGAGAGCAAGAGCCCGGAGAUGGAUUCUGAGACACGAAUCCAGGCCCUACGGGGUGCAGCAGGCGCGAAAACUUUACAAUGCUGGCAACAGCGAUAAGGGAACCUCGAGUGCCAGGUUACAAAUCUGGCUGUCGAGAUGCCUAAAAAGCAUUUCAUAGCAAGGGCCGGGCAAGACCGGUGCCAGCCGCCGCGGUAACACCGGCGGCUCGAGUGGUAACCGUUAUUAUUGGGUCUAAAGGGUCUGUAGCCGGCCGGAUAAGUCUCUUGAGAAAUCUGGCAGCUUAACUGUCAGGCUUUCAGGAGAUACUGUCUGGCUCGAGGCCGGGAGAGGUGAGAGGUACUUCAGGGGUAGGGGUGAAAUCUUGUAAUCCUUGAAGGACCACCAGUGGCGAAGGCGUCUCACCAGAACGGACCUGACGGCAAGGGACGAAAGCUAGGGGCACGAACCGGAUUAGAUACCCGGGUAGUCCUAGCCGUAAACGAUACUCGCUAGGUGUCGGCCACGGUGCGACCGUUGUCGGUGCCGUAGGGAAGCUGUGAAGCGAGCCACCUGGGAAGUACGGCCGCAAGGCUGAAACUUAAAGGAAUUGGCGGGGGAGCACCACAACGGGUGGAGCUUGCGGUUUAAUUGGAUUCAACGCCGGAAAUCUUACCGGGACCGACAGCAAUAUGAAGGCCAGGCUGAAGACUUUGCCGGAUUAGCUGAGAGUGGUGCAU